GAACUCACCUUGAUAAGAUAGAAUCUCUGCUCAUAUUCAAGUUUUCGAGGGAAUCCUGUCCUUCACAAUGAAAGAUUUGAAGUCAUAAGAAAUCAAUGUAAUUUGUUGCCGAAUCACGGAAAUGGCGAAAUGUUAACUAUAAAUCGGGCAAGUACUUAAAAUUGUCACAUAAUUUCAUUCUUAACGCAAAGGUGAAAACACAAGACUGAAUCAAAUUUGUGAUCACUGCUUUAUCAUUGACUUUCUAUCGUUAUCACAGGUACACUUGGAUAAAAUAUGCAGUUCUCUUGAAAAAACAAAAGAAGAAAACAAUUGAAUAGAUAAGCUGUGGACAAAUAAACAACAUUUAGUCUACUUUCGCUAUUCACUCAGCCAUGUUUUAUCUGUAGAACUAAUCUCUCUAUUUAAGUUCUGAAGUGGGGCAAUCCCAAAGUAGAACGGUGUUACAAAUUUAGUGGGCGAUCAACUGAAUAUAUUAGUCACAGAGAGAUAAUGAUUGCGACCUGAUUGACCCGUUAGCUUGAGCACAUACCUACUUCAGACUGCAGAGUACACAUUCAAAUACUCAAAGGUUUGUCGGCCUCAAUUAGUUUAUUCGUGAAAAACUACUUUAUUUACAAAUUAAAUUAACUUUCAAAGACAGAAAAAGAAUACGAUAAAAACCCUGAUUGAAGGUAAAAAUAUGUAUGAACCGGGUAAUGUCCUGUCAAGUGUCAACAAACCUGAAGAUUAAAGAAGUAUUUACUUUAUAAGAGAGGGUGAACAACUAAUUAAAAAUGGACAUUAUAUUUUAUUUUUCCUCUUGUAUGUGUCGCAAGAGGAGUUUUCAAACCUAAGGAACCGCUUAGAUCCGGAGAUAUACGUCUAGUUUUGUACUUGAUUGUUACUGUUUUGAUGGCUAGCAAGGUGUUGCGCGCGUAAAGUCUUAAAAGUAUGCAAUUCACUUUCGGAUUAACUCGGCCAUAAUACAUAUCGACGGAGUAAGUCGGCGAUCUUACUCUGAGGGAGCCAUCUGAUAACCCUGUUUUGCAGUGCCGUGGCGUCCAUGUAAGCAAGGGAAGCACUUCCCUUUAUGUUUAAAAUGUAGCACAGGAAAGAAAGUUGAAUGAAAUUUAGAAAAAAAAAUCAAGGUGUUAGUCAUUUUACCUAAACUAGUUAGC
rnacentral:lncRNA from 1 species